rnacentral:rRNA from 1 species
UACGGGGGGGGCAAGCGUUGUUCGGAAUUACUGGGCGUAAAGGGUUCGUAGGUGGCUUGUUAAGUCAGACGUGAAAUCCCUCGGCUCAACCGGGGAACUGCGUCUGAGACUGAUGAGCUCGAGUGCAGGAGAGGAACGCGGAAUUCCAGGUGUAGCGGUGAAAUGCGCAGAUAUCGGGAGGAACACCCGUAGCGAAGGCGGCACUCUGGGCCGGUACUGACGCUGAGGAGCGAAAGCGUGGGGAGCAAACAGG